rnacentral:lncRNA from 1 species
GACAUCAAUGAAUAUAUCUCGAAAAAGGGCUUGUAAUUUAUAGUAAAUAUUACUAUUAAAUAAUAAAAAUUAGAAUAAAUUAUUAAAGUUGUUGUAAGAAUAUUUUAAUAUGAAUUUUAACUAAGUUUUUGUUUUGAUAUACAUUAAUGUUUGAUUAUCUUCAAUUUAACUUCCGAAUUUGCAGUUGCUAAAAUACAUAAUAAUUAACAUAUUAUAUUUUGUUAACAUUUACUUUUAAUUUUGUUGAUUGUAUUAUAUUAAAGGAAGAUUUAAAAGUAACAAAUAAAUAAAGUGAUUUAAUAUUAAAUAGCACAUGUCUUUCAAAUAAUUGAAAGAAAUUAUAUUUUAAAAUAGAAUUCAACAACGGCAAAACAUCAUUUAGCAUUACAAUAUUUCUUUAAAUUCGACAUAAGUUUAAAUUUAUCAUUACAUAACAUUUAUUAAUAUAAAAAAAGAUAGUUUUCAAAAAUUGUACUUGAUUCGACAAUAAUUUUGUGAUUGCCAACGACAUCAAACUUCAAAUAAUGAUUGAUAGUAUGGACAAUACACUUUGUUUUGAUUCUAUGGGCAUUAUGAAGAUCAACGUAUUUAGAGGGAAAACCCAUCUUAAAGCCGGAUGUCGUCGCCCACUAAUCUACUAAUUUAUCCAAUAAUGUCAACCAUAGACGUGAUUUUUUACAUUAUCACCUAGAGAAUCGACUUCAAAACCAUUGAUCUAAAAAGUAUAUAGAACUUUUUUUUGAAAAUGCGUACAAACAAAACUAAAAAAUAAAUAAUUAUUAAUUUCGAAAGUGACAUUAGUAAAACAAAAGUUUGUUUUUCUAAUUGAUGUAUAAAUGUUAAAUUAUAUUCAAAUUUUCAAAACAAGAGACAUUGUUGAAUUUAUCUUGAAAAAAUGCUUGUAAUUUAUUGUAUAUAAAAUAAUUAAAAUUAGAAUAAAUUCUUAAAGUUGUUGUAAGAAUAUUUUAAUCUUAAUUAACUAAGUUUUAGUUUUGAAAUAUAUUAAUGUUUGAUUAUGUUCAAUUUAACUUCCGAAUUUGCAGUUGCUAAAAUUCAUAAUAAUUAACAUAUUAUUUUUUGUUAACAUUUACUUUUAAUUUUCUUGAGUGUAUUAUAUUAAAGGAAGAUUUAAAAGUAACCAAUAAUUAAAGUGAUUUAUUAUUAAAUAGCACAUGUCUUUCAAAAAAUUGAAAGAAAUUCUACUUUAAAAUAGAAUUCAACAACGGCAAAACAUCAUUUAGCAUUACAAUAUUUCUUUAAAUUUGAUGUAAGUUUAAAGUUAUCAUUACAUAACAUUUAUUAAUAUAUAAAAAGAUUGUUUUCAAGAAUUGUACUUGAUUCAACAAUAAUUUUGUCAUUGAUUCUACGGGCAUUAUGAAGAUCAACAUAUUUAGAGAGAAAACCCAUCUUAAAGCCGGAUGUCGUCGCCCACUAAUCUACUAAUUUAUCCAAUAAUGUCAACCAUAGACAUGAUUUUUUACAUUAGCACCUAGAUAAUUAACUUCAAAACCAUUGAUCUUAAAAGUACAUAGAUUUUUUUUUUGAAAAUGUGUAGAAACAAAACUAAAGAAUAAAUAAUUAUUAAUUUCGAAAGUGACAUUAGUUAGACAAAAGUUUGUUUUUUUAAUUGAUGUAUUAACGUUAAAUUAUGUUCAAAUUUUCAAAACAAGAGACAUCAAUGAAUAUAUUUCGAAAAAGGGCUUGUAAUUUAUAGUAAAUAUUACUAUUAAACAAUAAAAAUUAGAACAAAUUAUUAAAGUGGUUGUAAGAAUAUUUUAAUAUGAUUUAACUAAGUUAUUGUUUUGAUGUAUAUUAAUGUUUGAUUAUGUUCAAUUUAACUUCCGAAUUUGCAGUUGCUAAAAUACAUAAUAAUUAACAUAUUAUUUUUUGUUAACAUUUACUUUUAAUUUUGUUGAUUGUAUUAUAUUAAAGGAAGAUUUAAAAGUAACAAAUAAUUAAAGUGAUUUAAUAUUAAAUAGCACAUGUCUUUCAAAAAAUUGAAAGAAAUUAUACUUUAAAAUAGAAUUCAACAACGGCAAAACAUCAUUUAGCAUUACAAUAUUUCUUUAAAUUCGAUGUAAGUUUAAAUUUAUCAUUACAUAACAUUUAUUAAUAUAUGAAAAGAUAGUUUUCAAGAAUUGUACUUGAUUCGACAAUAAUUUUGUCAUUUACAACGACAUCAAACUUCCUAUAAUGAUUGAAAGUGUGGACAAUACACUUUGUUUUGAUUCUAUGGGCAUUAUGAAGAUCAAUGUAUUUAGAGAGAAAACCCAUCUUAAAGUCGGAUGUCGUCGCCCACUAAUCUACUCAUUUAUCCAAUAAUGUCAACCAUAGACGUGAUUUUUUACAUUAGCACCUAGAGAAUCAACUUCAAAACCAUUGAUCUUAAAAGUAUAUAGAAUUUUUUUUUGAAAAUGUGUAGAAACAAAACUAAAGAAUAAAUAAUUAAUAAUUUCGAAAGUGACAUUAGUAAGACAAAAGUUUGUUUUUCUAAUUGAUGUAUUAACGUUAAAUUAUGUUCAAAUUUUCAAAACAAGAGACAUUAAUGAAUAUAUCUCGAAAAAGGGCUUGUAAUUUAUAGUAAAUAUUACUAUUAAACAAUAAAAAUUAGAACAAAUUAUUAAAGUGGUUGUAAGAAUAUUUUAAUAUGAUUUAACUAAGUUAUUGUUUUGAUGUAUAUUAAUGUUUGAUUAUGUUCAAUUUAACUUCCGAAUUUGCAGUUGCUAAAAUACAUAAUAAUUAACAUAUUAUUUUUUGUUAACAUUUACUUUUAAUUUUGUUGAUUGUAUUAUAUUAAAGGAAGAUUUAAAAGUAACAAAUAAUUAAAGUGAUUUAAUAUUAAAUAGCACAUGUCUUUCAAAAAAUUGAAAGAAAUUAUACUUUAAAAUAGAAUUCAACAACGGCAAAACAUCAUUUAGCAUUACAAUAUUUCUUUAAAUUCGAUGUAAGUUUAAAUUUAUCAUUACAUAACAUUUAUUAAUAUAUAAAAAGAUAGUUUUCAAGAAUUGUACUUGAUUCGACAAUAAUUUUGUCAUUGCCAACGACAUCAAACUUCAAAUAAUGAUUGAAAGUGUGGAAAAUAAAAUUUGUCUUGAUUCUAUGGGCAUUAUGAAGAUCAACGUAUUUAGAGAGAAAACCCAUCUUAAAGCAGGAUGUCGUCGCCCACUAAUCUACUAAUUUAUCCAAAAAUGUCAACCAUAGACGUGAUUUUUUACAUUAUCACCUAAAGAAUCAACUUCAAAACCAUUGAUCUAAAAAGUAUAUAGAACUUUUUUUUGAAAAUGCAUACAAACAAAACUAAAAAAAAAUAAUUAUUAAUUUGGAAAGUGACCCUAGUAAACAAAAGUUUGUUUUUCUAAUUGAUGUAUAAAUGUUAAAUUAUCUUCAAAUUUUCAAAACAAGAGACAUUGUUGAAUUUAUCUUGAAAAAAUGCUUGUAAUUUAUUGUAUAUAAAAUAAUUAAAAUUAGAAUGAAUUCUUAAAGUUGUUGUAAGAAUUUUUUAAUCUUAAUUAACUAAGUUUUAGUUUUGAAAUAUAUUAAUGUUUGAUUAUGUUCAAUUUAACUUCCGAAUUUGCAGUUGCUAAAAUACAUAAUAAUUAACAUAUUAUUUUUUGUUAACAUUUACUUUUAAUUUUGUUGAUUGUGUUAUAUUAAAGGAAGAUUUAAAAGUAACCAAAAAUUAAAGUGAUUUUAUAUUAAAUAGCACAUGUCUUUCAAAAAAUUGAAAGAAAUUAUACUUUAAAAUAGAAUUCAACAACGGCAAAACAUCAUUUAGCAUUACAAUAUUUCUUUAAAUUCGAUGUAAGUUUAAAUUUAUCAUUACAUAACAUUUAUUAAUAUAUAAAAAGAUAGUUUUCAAGAAUUGUACUUGAUUCGACAAUAAUUUUGUCAUUGCCAACGACAUCAAACUUCAUAUAAUGAUUGAAAGUGUGGACAAGACAGUUUGUUUUGAUUCUAUGGGCAUUAUGAAGUUCAAUGUAUUUAGAGAGAAAACCCAUCUUAAAGUCGGACGUCGUCGCCCACUAAUCUACUCAUUUAUCCAAUAAUGUCAACUAUAGACGUGAUUUUUUACAUUAGCACCUAGAGAAUCAACUUCAAAACCAUUGAUCUUAAAAGUAUAUAGAAUUUUUUUUUGAAAAUGUGUAGAAACAAAACUAAAGAAUAAAUAAUUAAUAAUUUCGAAAGUGACAUUAGUAAGACAAAAGUUUGUUUUUCUAAUUGAUGUAUUAACGUUAAAUUAUGUUCAAAUUUUCAAAACAAGAGACAUUAAUGAAUAUAUCUCGAAAAAGGGCUUGUAAUUUAUAGUAAAUAUUACUAUUAAACAAUAAAAAUUAGAACAAAUUAUUAAAGUGGUUGUAAGAAUAUUUUAAUAUGAUUUAACUAAGUUAUUGUUUUGAUGUAUAUUAAUGUUUGAUUAUGUUCAAUUUAACUUCCGAAUUUGCAGUUGCUAAAAUACAUAAUAAUUAACAUAUUAUUUUUUGUUAACAUUUACUUUUAAUUUUGUUGAUUGUAUUAUAUUAAAGGAAGAUUUAAAAGUAACAAAUAAUUAAAGUGAUUUAAUAUUAAAUAGCACAUGUCUUUCAAAAAAUUGAAAGAAAUUAUACUUUAAAAUAGAAUUCAACAACGGCAAAACAUCAUUUAGCAUUACAAUAUUUCUUUAAAUUCGAUGUAAGUUUAAAUUUAUCAUUACAUAACAUUUAUUAAUAUAUAAAAAGAUAGUUUUCAAGAAUUGUACUUGAUUCGACAAUAAUUUUGUCAUUGCCAACGACAUCAAACUUCAUAUAAUGAUUGAAAGUGUGGACAAUACACUUUGUUUUGAUUCUAUGGGCAUUAUGAAGAUCAAUGUAUUUAGAGAGAAAACCCAUCUUAAAGCCGGAUGUCGUCGCCCACUAAUCUACUCAUUUAUCCAAUAAUGUCAACCAUAGACGUGAUUUUUUACAUUAGCACCUAGAGAAUCAACUUCAAAACCAUUGAUCUUAAAAGUACAUAGAAUUUUUUUUGAAAAUGUGUAGAAACAAAACUAAAGAAUAAAUAAUUAUUAAUUUCGAAAGUGACAUUAGUAAGACAAAAGUUUGUUUUUCUAAUUGAUGUAUUAACGUUAAAUUAUGUUCAAAUUUUCAAAACAAGAGACAUUAAUGAAUAUAUCUCGAAAAAGGGCUUGUAAUUUAUAGUAAAUAUUACUAUUAAACAAUAAAAAUUAGAACAAAUUAUUAAAGUGGUUGUAAGAAUAUUUUAAUAUGAUUUAACUAAGUUAUUGUUUUGAUGUAUAUUAAUGUUUGAUUAUGUUCAAUUUAACUUCCGAAUUUGCAGUUGCUAAAAUACAUAAUAAUUAACAUAUUAUUUUUUGUUAACAUUUACUUUUAAUUUUGUUGAUUGUAUUAUAUUAAAGGAACAUUUAAAAGUAACCAAUAAUUAAAGUGAUUUAAUAUUAAAUAGCACAUGUCUUUCAAAAAAUUGAAAGAAAUUAUACUUUAAAAUAGAAUUCAACAACGGCAAAACAUCAUUUAGCAUUACAAUAUUUCUUUAAAUUCGAUGUAAGUUUAAAUUUAUCAUUACAUAACAUUUAUUAAUAUAUAAAAAGAUAGUUUUCAAGAAUUGUACUUGAUUCGACAAUAAUUUUGUCAUUGCCAACGACAUCAAACUUCAUAUAAUGAUUGAAAGUGUGGACAAUACACUUUGUUUUGAUUCUAUGGGCAUUAUGAAGAUCAAUGUAUUUAGAGAGAAAACCCAUCUUAAAGCCGGAUGUCGUCGCCCACUAAUCUACUCAUUUAUCCAAUAAUGUCAACCAUAGACGUGAUUUUUUACAUUAGCACCUAGAGAAUCAACUUCAAAACCAUUGAUCUUAAAAGUAUAUAGAAUUUUUUUUUGAAAAUGUGUAGAAACAAAACUAAAGAAUAAAUAAUUAAUAAUUUCGAAAGUGACAUUAGUAAGACAAAAGUUUGUUUUUCUAAUUGAUGUAUUAACGUUAAAUUAUGUUCAAAUUUUCAAAACAAGAGACAUUAAUGAAUAUAUCUCGAAAAAGGGCUUGUAAUUUAUAGUAAAUAUUACUAUUAAACAAUAAAAAUUAGAACAAAUUAUUAAAGUGGUUGUAAGAAUAUUUUAAUAUGAUUUAACUAAGUUAUUGUUUUGAUGUAUAUUAAUGUUUGAUUAUGUUCAAUUUAACUUCCGAAUUUGCAGUUGCUAAAAUACAUAAUAAUUAACAUAUUAUUUUUUGUUAACAUUUACUUUUAAUUUUGUUGAUUGUAUUAUAUUAAAGGAACAUUUAAAAGUAACCAAUAAUUAAAGUGAUUUAAUAUUAAAUAGCACAUGUCUUUCAAAAAAUUGAAAGAAAUUAUACUUUAAAAUAGAAUUCAACAACGGCAAAACAUCAUUUAGCAUUACAAUAUUUCUUUAAAUUCGAUGUAAGUUUAAAUUUAUCAUUACAUAACAUUUAUUAAUAUAUAAAAAGAUAGUUUUCAAGAAUUGUACUUGAUUCGACAAUAAUUUUGUCAUUGCCAACGACAUCAAACUUCAUAUAAUGAUUGAAAGUGUGGACAAGACAGUUUGUUUUGAUUCUAUGGGCAUUAUGAAGUUCAAUGUAUUUAGAGAGAAAACCCAUCUUAAAGUCGGACGUCGUCGCCCACUAAUCUACUCAUUUAUCCAAUAAUGUCAACCAUAGACGUGAUUUUUUACAUUAGCACCUAGAGAAUCAACUUCAAAACCAUUGAUCUUAAAAGUAUAUAGAAUUUUUUUUUGAAAAUGUGUAGAAACAAAACUAAAGAAUAAAUAAUUAAUAAUUUCGAAAGUGACAUUAGUAAGACAAAAGUUUGUUUUUCUAAUUGAUGUAUUAACGUUAAAUUAUGUUCAAAUUUUCAAAACAAGAGACAUUAAUGAAUAUAUCUCGAAAAAGGGCUUGUAAUUUAUAGUAAAUAUUACUAUUAAACAAUAAAAAUUAGAACAAAUUAUUAAAGUGGUUGUAAGAAUAUUUUAAUAUGAUUUAACUAAGUUAUUGUUUUGAUGUAUAUUAAUGUUUGAUUAUGUUCAAUUUAACUUCCGAAUUUGCAGUUGCUAAAAUACAUAAUAAUUAACAUAUUAUUUUUUGUUAACAUUUACUUUUAAUUUUGUUGAUUGUAUUAUAUUAAAGGAACAUUUAAAAGUAACCAAUAAUUAAAGUGAUUUAAUAUUAAAUAGCACAUGUCUUUCAAAAAAUUGAAAGAAAUUAUACUUUAAAAUAGAAUUCAACAACGGCAAAACAUCAUUUAGCAUUACAAUAUUUCUUUAAAUUCGAUGUAAGUUUAAAUUUAUCAUUACAUAACAUUUAUUAAUAUAUAAAAAGAUAGUUUUCAAGAAUUGUACUUGAUUCGACAAUAAUUUUGUCAUUGCCAACGACAUCAAACUUCAUAUAAUGAUUGAAAGUGUGGACAAGACAGUUUGUUUUGAUUCUAUGGGCAUUAUGAAGUUCAAUGUAUUUAGAGAGAAAACCCAUCUUAAAGUCGGACGUCGUCGCCCACUAAUCUACUCAUUUAUCCAAUAAUGUCAACCAUAGACGUGAUUUUUUACAUUAGCACCUAGAGAAUCAACUUCAAAACCAUUGAUCUUAAAAGUAUAUAGAAUUUUUUUUUGAAAAUGUGUAGAAACAAAACUAAAGAAUAAAUAAUUAAUAAUUUCGAAAGUGACAUUAGUAAGACAAAAGUUUGUUUUUCUAAUUGAUGUAUUAACGUUAAAUUAUGUUCAAAUUUUCAAAACAAGAGACAUUAAUGAAUAUAUCUCGAAAAAGGGCUUGUAAUUUAUAGUAAAUAUUACUAUUAAACAAUAAAAAUUAGAACAAAUUAUUAAAGUGGUUGUAAGAAUAUUUUAAUAUGAUUUAACUAAGUUAUUGUUUUGAUGUAUAUUAAUGUUUGAUUAUGUUCAAUUUAACUUCCGAAUUUGCAGUUGCUAAAAUACAUAAUAAUUAACAUAUUAUUUUUUGUUAACAUUUACUUUUAAUUUUGUUGAUUGUAUUAUAUUAAAGGAACAUUUAAAAGUAACCAAUAAUUAAAGUGAUUUAAUAUUAAAUAGCACAUGUCUUUCAAAAAAUUGAAAGAAAUUAUACUUUAAAAUAGAAUUCAACAACGGCAAAACAUCAUUUAGCAUUACAAUAUUUCUUUAAAUUCGAUGUAAGUUUAAAUUUAUCAUUACAUAACAUUUAUUAAUAUAUAAAAAGAUAGUUUUCAAGAAUUGUACUUGAUUCGACAAUAAUUUUGUCAUUGCCAACGACAUCAAACUUCAUAUAAUGAUUGAAAGUGUGGACAAGACAGUUUGUUUUGAUUCUAUGGGCAUUAUGAAGUUCAAUGUAUUUAGAGAGAAAACCCAUCUUAAAGUCGGACGUCGUCGCCCACUAAUCUACUCAUUUAUCCAAUAAUGUCAACUAUAGACGUGAUUUUUUACAUUAGCACCUAGAGAAUCAACUUCAAAACCAUUGAUCUUAAAAGUAUAUAGAAUUUUUUUUUGAAAAUGUGUUGAAACAAAACUAAAGAAUAAAUAAUUAAUAAUUUCGAAAGUGACAUUAGUAAGACAAAAGUUUGUUUUUCUAAUUGAUGUAUUAACGUUAAAUUAUGUUCAAAUUUUCAAAACAAGAGACAUUAAUGAAUAUAUCUCGAAAAAGGGCUUGUAAUUUAUAGUAAAUAUUACUAUUAAACAAUAAAAAUUAGAACAAAUUAUUAAAGUGGUUGUAAGAAUAUUUUAAUAUGAUUUAACUAAGUUAUUGUUUUGAUGUAUAUUAAUGUUUGAUUAUGUUCAAUUUAACUUCCGAAUUUGCAGUUGCUAAAAUACAUAAUAAUUAACAUAUUAUUUUUUGUUAACAUUUACUUUUAAUUUUGUUGAUUGUAUUAUAUUAAAGGAAGAUUUAAAAGUAACAAAUAAUUAAAGUGAUUUAAUAUUAAAUAGCACAUGUCUUUCAAAAAAUUGAAAGAAAUUAUACUUUAAAAUAGAAUUCAACAACGGCAAAACAUCAUUUAGCAUUACAAUAUUUCUUUAAAUUCGAUGUAAGUUUAAAUUUAUCAUUACAUAACAUUUAUUAAUAUAUAAAAAGAUAGUUUUCAAGAAUUGUACUUGAUUCGACAAUAAUUUUGUCAUUGCCAACGACAUCAAACUUCAUAUAAUGAUUGAAAGUGUGGACAAUACACUUUGUUUUGAUUCUAUGGGCAUUAUGAAGAUCAAUGUAUUUAGAGAGAAAACCCAUCUUAAAGCCGGAUGUCGUCGCCCACUAAUCUACUCAUUUAUCCAAUAAUGUCAACCAUAGACGUGAUUUUUUACAUUAGCACCUAGAGAAUCAACUUCAAAACCAUUGAUCUUAAAAGUAUAUAGAAUUUUUUUUUGAAAAUGUGUAGAAACAAAACUAAAGAAUAAAUAAUUAAUAAUUUCGAAAGUGACAUUAGUAAGACAAAAGUUUGUUUUUCUAAUUGAUGUAUUAACGUUAAAUUAUGUUCAAAUUUUCAAAACAAGAGACAUUAAUGAAUAUAUCUCGAAAAAGGGCUUGUAAUUUAUAGUAAAUAUUACUAUUAAACAAUAAAAAUUAGAACAAAUUAUUAAAGUGGUUGUAAGAAUAUUUUAAUAUGAUUUAACUAAGUUAUUGUUUUGAUGUAUAUUAAUGUUUGAUUAUGUUCAAUUUAACUUCCGAAUUUGCAGUUGCUAAAAUACAUAAUAAUUAACAUAUUAUUUUUUGUUAACAUUUACUUUUAAUUUUGUUGAUUGUAUUAUAUUAAAGGAACAUUUAAAAGUAACCAAUAAUUAAAGUGAUUUAAUAUUAAAUAGCACAUGUCUUUCAAAAAAUUGAAAGAAAUUAUACUUUAAAAUAGAAUUCAACAACGGCAAAACAUCAUUUAGCAUUACAAUAUUUCUUUAAAUUCGAUGUAAGUUUAAAUUUAUCAUUACAUAACAUUUAUUAAUAUAUAAAAAGAUAGUUUUCAAGAAUUGUACUUGAUUCGACAAUAAUUUUGUCAUUGCCAACGACAUCAAACUUCAUAUAAUGAUUGAAAGUGUGGACAAGACAGUUUGUUUUGAUUCUAUGGGCAUUAUGAAGUUCAAUGUAUUUAGAGAGAAAACCCAUCUUAAAGUCGGACGUCGUCGCCCACUAAUCUACUCAUUUAUCCAAUAAUGUCAACCAUAGACGUGAUUUUUUACAUUAGCACCUAGAGAAUCAACUUCAAAACCAUUGAUCUUAAAAGUAUAUAGAAUUUUUUUUUGAAAAUGUGUAGAAACAAAACUAAAGAAUAAAUAAUUAAUAAUUUCGAAAGUGACAUUAGUAAGACAAAAGUUUGUUUUUCUAAUUGAUGUAUUAACGUUAAAUUAUGUUCAAAUUUUCAAAACAAGAGACAUUAAUGAAUAUAUCUCGAAAAAGGGCUUGUAAUUUAUAGUAAAUAUUACUAUUAAACAAUAAAAAUUAGAACAAAUUAUUAAAGUGGUUGUAAGAAUAUUUUAAUAUGAUUUAACUAAGUUAUUGUUUUGAUGUAUAUUAAUGUUUGAUUAUGUUCAAUUUAACUUCCGAAUUUGCAGUUGCUAAAAUACAUAAUAAUUAACAUAUUAUUUUUUGUUAACAUUUACUUUUAAUUUUGUUGAUUGAAUUAUAUUAAAGGAAGAUUUAAAAGUAACAAAUAAUUAAAGUGAUUUAAUAUUAAAUAGCACAUGUCUUUCAAAUAAUUGAUAGAAAUUAUAUUUUAAAAUAGAAUUCAACAACGGCAAAACAUCAUUUAGCAUUACAAUAUUUCUUUAAAUUCGAUGUAAGUUUAAAUUUAUCAUUACAUAACAUUUAUUAAGAUAUAAAAAGAUAGUUUUCAAGAGUUGUACUUGAUUAGACAAUAAUUUUGUCAUUGCCAACGACAUCAAACUUCAAAUAACGAUUGAAAGUGUGGACAAUAAACUUUGUUUUGAUUCUAUGGGCAUUAUGAAGAUCAACCAAUUUAGAGAGAAAACCCAUCUUAAAGCCGGAUGUCGUCGCCCACUAAUCUACUAAUUUAUCCAAUAAUGUCAACCCUAGACGUGAUUUUUUACAUUAGCACCUAGAGAAUCAACUUCAAAACCAUUGAUCUUAAAAGUACAUAGAAUUUUUUUUGAAAAUGUGUAGAAACAAAACUAAAGAAUAAAUAAUUAAUAAUUUCGAAAGUGACAUUAGUAAGACAAAAGUUUGUUUUUCUAAUUGAUGUAUUAACGUUAAAUUAUGUUCAAAUUUUCAAAACAAGAGACAUUAAUGAAUAUAUCUCGAAAAAGGGCUUUUAAUUUAUAGUAAAUAUUACUAUUAAACAAUAAAAAUUAGAACAAAUUAUUAAAGUGGUUGUAAGAAUAUUUUAAUAUGAUUUAACUAAGUUAUUGUUUUGAUGUAUAUUAAUGUUUGAUUAUGUUCAAUUUAACUUCCGAAUUUGCAGUUGCUAAAAUACAUAAUAAUUAACAUAUUAUUUUUUGUUAACAUUUACUUUUAAUUUUGUUGAUUGUAUUAUAUUAAAGGAAGAUUUAAAAGUAACAAAUAAUUAAAGUGAUUUAAUAUUAAAUAGCACAUGUCUUUCAAAAAAUUGAAAGAAAUUAUACUUUAAAAUAGAAUUCAACAACGGCAAAACAUCAUUUAGCAUUACAAUAUUUCUUUAAAUUCGAUGUAAGUUUAAAUUUAUCAUUACAUAACAUUUAUUAAUAUAUGAAAAGAUAGUUUUCAAGAAUUGUACUUGAUUCGACAAUAAUUUUGUCAUUUACAACGACAUCAAACUUCCUAUAAUGAUUGAAAGUGUGGACAAUACACUUUGUUUUGAUUCUAUGGGCAUUAUGAAGAUCAAUGUAUUUAGAGAGAAAACCCAUCUUAAAGUCGGAUGUCGUCGCCCACUAAUCUACUCAUUUAUCCAAUAAUGUCAACCAUAGACGUGAUUUUUUACAUUAGCACCUAGAGAAUCAACUUCAAAACCAUUGAUCUUAAAAGUAUAUAGAAUUUUUUUUUGAAAAUGUGUAGAAACAAAACUAAAGAAUAAAUAAUUAAUAAUUUCGAAAGUGACAUUAGUAAGACAAAAGUUUGUUUUUCUAAUUGAUGUAUUAACGUUAAAUUAUGUUCAAAUUUUCAAAACAAGAGACAUUAAUGAAUAUAUCUCGAAAAAGGGCUUGUAAUUUAUAGUAAAUAUUACUAUUAAACAAUAAAAAUUAGAACAAAUUAUUAAAGUGGUUGUAAGAAUAUUUUAAUAUGAUUUAACUAAGUUAUUGUUUUGAUGUAUAUUAAUGUUUGAUUAUGUUCAAUUUAACUUCCGAAUUUGCAGUUGCUAAAAUACAUAAUAAUUAACAUAUUAUUUUUUGUUAACAUUUACUUUUAAUUUUGUUGAUUGUAUUAUAUUAAAGGAAGAUUUAAAAGUAACAAAUAAUUAAAGUGAUUUAAUAUUAAAUAGCACAUGUCUUUCAAAAAAUUGAAAGAAAUUAUACUUUAAAAUAGAAUUCAACAACGGCAAAACAUCAUUUAGCAUUACAAUAUUUCUUUAAAUUCGAUGUAAGUUUAAAUUUAUCAUUACAUAACAUUUAUUAAUAUAUGAAAAGAUAGUUUUCAAGAAUUGUACUUGAUUCGACAAUAAUUUUGUCAUUUACAACGACAUCAAACUUCCUAUAAUGAUUGAAAGUGUGGACAAUACACUUUGUUUUGAUUCUAUGGGCAUUAUGAAGAUCAAUGUAUUUAGAGAGAAAACCCAUCUUAAAGUCGGAUGUCGUCGCCCACUAAUCUACUCAUUUAUCCAAUAAUGUCAACCAUAGACGUGAUUUUUUACAUUAGCACCUAGAGAAUCAACUUCAAAACCAUUGAUCUUAAAAGUAUAUAGAAUUUUUUUUUGAAAAUGUGUAGAAACAAAACUAAAGAAUAAAUAAUUAAUAAUUUCGAAAGUGACAUUAGUAAGACAAAAGUUUGUUUUUCUAAUUGAUGUAUUAACGUUAAAUUAUGUUCAAAUUUUCAAAACAAGAGACAUUAAUGAAUAUAUCUCGAAAAAGGGCUUGUAAUUUAUAGUGAAUAUUACUAUAAAAUAAUUAAAAUUAGAAUAAAUUAUUAAAGUUGUUGUAAGAAUAUUUUAAUCUGAAUUAACUAAGUUUUUGUUUUGAUAUAUAUUAAUGUUUGAUUAUGUUCAAUUUAACUUCCGAAUUUGCAGUUGCUAAAAUACAUAAUAAUUAACAUAUUAUUUUUUGUUAACAUUUACUUUUAAUUUUGUUGAUUGUAUUAUAUUAAAGGAAGAUUUAAAAGUAACAAAUAAUUAAAGUGAUUUAAUAUUAAAUAGCACAUGUCUUUCAAAUAAUUGAAAGAAAUUAUACUUUAAAAUAGAAUUCAACAACGGCAAAACAUCAUUUAGCAUUACAAUAUUUCUUUAAAUUCGAUGUAAGUUUAAAUUUAUCAUUACAUAACAUUUAUUAAUAUAUAAAAAGAUAGUUUUCAAGAGUUGUACUUGAUUAGACAAUAAUUUUGUCAUUGCCAACGACAUCAAACUUCACAUAAUGAUUGAAAGUGUGGACAAUAAACUUUGUUUUGAUUAUAUGGGCAUUAUGAAGAUCAACCUAUUUAGAGAGAAAACCCAUCUUAAAGUCGGAUGUCGUCGCCCACUAAUCUACUAAUUUAUCCAAUAAUGUCAACCCUAGACGUGAUUUUUUAAUUUAGCACCUAGAGAAUCAACUUCAAAACCAUUGAUCUUAAAAGUACAUAGAAUUUAUUUUUAAAAAUGUGUAGAAACAAAACUAAAGAAUAAAUAUUUAUUAAUUUCGAAAGUGACAUUAGUAAGACAAAAUUUUGUUUUUUUAAUUGAUGUAUUAACGUUACAUUAUGAUCAAAUUUUCAAAACAAGAGAAAUCAAUGAAUAUAUCUCGAAAAAGGGCUUGUAAUUGAUAGUAAAUAUUACUAUUAAAUAAUAAAAAUUAAAAUAAAUUAUUAAAGUUGUUGUAAGAAUAUUUUAAUAUUAAUUAACUAAGUUUUUGUUUUGAUAUACAUUAAUGUUUGAUUAUCUUCAAUUUAACUUCCGAAUUUGCAGUUUCUAAAAUACAUAAUAAUUAACAUAUUAUUUUUUG